rnacentral:rRNA from 1 species
AUGGAAAAUGCUUUGGUCGCCAUUACGGCCGACUACCCCGGUUUAUCUCCGGCUUCCCAGGAGGUGCCUUUAAGGUGGGAAGCCGAACUCGCGGCGGCUGACCAACAAGGGUCAGUUCGGCCCAGCAGGCGGAAGAGGAGUGUGGCGCGAAUCGAAACGUCGCCGCAACGGAGAAAGAGCGCUCGCCGGACUGUGCCCGAAGAGGUUGCCAAUCAAGCCUCCGCCAGCCAGGCUCCAACGCCUGGUCCAGAGGGGGAGGCGAACACAAGGCGUGAGCCGGAUGCUCCUCCAACGGAGGAUGCCGACAGGCUGUCCGCCACCAGGUCUGAGGUGGAGAGUGCCAUGAAUCACAGGCGCCGCCGGGCAGUUCUUCGUGACGCGUGUUUCUCCCCGGAGGUGUUGAAUGCCUUUAAUGCGGGGGACGCGCACCUUCGUGCCGCUCGAGAUGGUUUAACCAAGGCCACGGAGCAGUAUGUGAAAGACAUACGGGUGAGGAAUUUUAAUAGUUAUAUAUGCCAGUAG